GAAAACCCUAAAAUUUUAGUUCUUCACUUAUUCUUCUUCAGCCGACGACACUUCUUCUCAUUUCUUUUCCUCAUUCUUUGAAUCUAUACUUUUUCAGACUUCUCUUCUCACUUCGUUCUUCAACAAUCAACUGGUUCUUCGUUCGUUCUUCAAUUUACCGUCGACCAGAUUUCGACCGUCGACGCUUCGUUCGUUCUUCAGUUCGACGUCGACGCUUGAAAUUUCAGCCUCAGAUUUAUGUGACCAAAAUUAUAGAGCCAAAGUCAAUCAUCAAAUCAUUCCAUAAACUCAUCCAACUCCAUUGCUGAAAAUGAUACAAAAUCUCUUUGAAAAUAUGUGACCAAAAUUCAAAAAUAUUUAUAUUGCCAAUGCAACCUUUGUAAUAUUUCAAAGAGAAGCGUAUACACGGGGUAGAGCUCAUUUGUUGAAGAUAAGUGGUCAAUGAAUUGGACCUUGUUUAAAAGUCACGUCUUCCAUUUUGAGUAGAAUGAAAAAUUGGAAGAAGAAGUAAAGGCUCGGUUAGAAAGAAAAGGUCCAAAGAAUGUUCCCUUACUUCCUAUGGUCAUAACAAUGGUCAUAACAAUUGGUGGUGUUAAUGUCAGUAAUUCUCCUAUUACAAGCAAAUUGCACUUUGAGAAGAAAAGUAUAGUAGUAGUGAUACAAUGCAAUUGAAAAAUUAUUCAAGCA